AUGAACGCUGGCGGCUUGCCUAAUCCAUGCAAGUCGAGCGAACAGACGAGGAGCUUGCUCCUCUGACGUUAGCGGCGGACGGGUGAGUAACACGUGGAUAACCUACCUAUAAGACUGGGAUAACUUCGGGAAACCGGAGCUAAUACCGGAUAAUAUAUUGAACCGCAUGGUUCAAUAGUGAAAGACGGUUUUGCUGUCACUUAUAGAUGGAUCCGCGCCGCAUUAGCUAGUUGGUAAGGUAACGGCUUACCAAGGCAACGAUGCGUAGCCGACCUGAGAGGGUGAUCGGCCACACUGGAACUGAGACACGGUCCAGACUCCUACGGGAGGCAGCAGUAGGGAAUCUUCCGCAAUGGGCGAAAGCCUGACGGAGCAACGCCGCGUGAGUGAUGAAGGUCUUCGGAUCGUAAAACUCUGUUAUUAGGGAAGAACAAAUGUGUAAGUAACUAUGCACGUCUUGACGGUACCUAAUCAGAAAGCCACGGCUAACUACGUG
rnacentral:rRNA from 1 species